UGUUGGGCAGUGGGCGCUGUUCUAUCUUUCGAGUCAUGUCCUAAAAGAUAUCCUUCUAAAUCAAAAACUAUCCCUCUCUUCCAAUCAAAACUUAAUACUACUCUAUAUACCUCUAUAUACCACUUGAUCAGUCUUUCUAGAAAACCCUAAAACAUGUCGGGCGGGUUUUUCCGGGGUACGUCGGCCGAGCAGGACACUCGGUUCUCUAAUAAGCAAGCUAAGCUGUUGAAAUCUCAGAAGUUCGCUCCUGAAUUGGAACAUCUGGUGGACAUGACCAAAGUAAAGAUGGAUGUAAUGAAACCAUGGAUUGCCAAACGAGUUACCGAGCUUAUUGGUUUUGAAGAUGAAGUUCUUAUCAAUUUCAUUUAUGGCCUUCUUGAACGAAAGGUAGUUAACGGCAAGGAGGUUCAAAUUUCACUUACUGGAUUCAUGGAAAGAAACACUGGCAAAUUUAUGAAAGAGCUUUGGGCGCUACUACUUAGUGCACAGAACAAUGCAAGCGGUGUUCCUCAGCAGUUCCUAGAAGCCAAAGAAGAGGAAAUGAGAAAGAAGAAGGUUGAGACGGAUCGAAUUGCCAACGAGAUUCAUAAGAAAAAGGAGAGAGAGAGUAGGGAGCUGGAUCAAGAGAAAAGGAAGAUGAUGGACGAUUAUGCCAGCAAUUCGAGACAAAAAAAUGCUGCACUGGAGCCAAGUCCGAAACACCAGCCUCGGGUGCGCUCGACAGAUGAUUUAGACCAUGUUGACAGAAAUGGCUCAAGAAGAAUACACAGGGUCUCUAGAUCCCCACGUUCAGCAGAUCAUUCACCCUCCCCGAGGAGAUCAAGGUCAAUCAGCAAGUCAUUUUCUAAUUCAAGGAGUUAUUCUGGUGAAAGGCGCAGGUCACGAAGUACAUCCGGAUCUCCUUUAGAACGGAGGGGUCGCUCACUUUCAUCUGAAAGGGUAUACCGCUCUCCACCAAGGCUCUCUGUUUCACCUCGUAGGAAGCAUUCACCUCAACAAUCUCUCUCUCCACCAAGACACAGGCAAAGAUCAACCUCCCGAGUACGUCAAGGGUCACCUUUUGUUGCACGGUAUCGAAGACGUUCUCCAUUCCGACGUAGGAGGUCUCCCAUUCGAUGUAGAUCGAGGUCUCCCAUUCAACGUAGAUCGAGGUCUCCGAUUAGGCGUAGAUCACGAUCCCCUAUGUGGCGUAGGUCACGGUCUCCAAGUAGACGCUCACCAGGGCGAUAUAGAUCAAGGUCACCUAUUAGACGUCGAUCACCACUUCUGCGCAGAACACCGAAUUCAACAAAACGUAGGUCCCCUUCUCCGGUGGGUCGGGGUUACCACCGAUCUCCAUUGAGUCCUCGAAGUUCUCUAUCUCCAGCACAACGAAAAUCCUUCAUAUCUGGCAGGAAAAGAUCCUUAACCCCUGCCAGAAGGUCUAUUUCACCUCAAGAAUCACUUUCUCCCUCACCCAUUUACCGCAAGUCUCCUUCACCAAUCAGAAAGAGAAUAUUGAAGAAUGAAAGUUCACCAGUUCAAUCUCCUCGGGGAAGGAUAAGGAGCCGUGUAAAAUACUCCCCUAUUCGACAUGCUCCUCCAGUAAAAACUGAGGCGCAUAAAGGAUCCAGAUCAUUGGAACGUAGUCGUCCUAUUUCUUCUAGGUCACCACAGAGGGACGUAUAUGACCGUAAGGAUUCACGAAAAAAAGAGUCGCUUUUGCCUCCUCGGCGACGGCGGUCACCAUCUGUUUCAGAAUCUCCACGCUCCAGAUCAGCCUCAGAAUCUCCACCAACAAAAAGGGAAAGGAGUCCUAGUGAAAAUAGAGGGCCAAAGAGUACUUUGAACCAGAGGGAGAGAAAGACAAUUGACACUGACAGCCCAAAUCCCGGGAAAUUGAGAGAGCACAGAGUUAGUUCUAACAUUUCUGCGAAAAUUGCAGAUGAGAAAGAAAUGAACCAUUCAAGGGAGGCCUUUGAGCAUAAACCUAGGUCUUCAAGAAAAAUUGCUACAACACCUGAUCCAAAUAAAGAUCUUGAAAAGGGGCGGGAUGAGGAAGAAUUUUCUGAAUUUCAUAGCCAUUCAGAUCGCAUGGAGUCAAGAAAGCGAAAUGAAGUGAUGAAGAGUGAAAAAUUUUCUGCAAUGAUGGAGCAAACAAAGGAACUGGAUCAACAAAAGUCACCAUCAAGCCAUAGACACUCUCAUUCAGUUAAGAGGGAAAGGGAAUCAUAUGCUGGGGAGAGCUUCAAAGCAGAGAAGGAAUACCUGUCUCAUGCAAACUAUAUCAAGGGCAAAGAGCUACUUGAGUCAGAAACUCCCCUCACUUCAUCAAGGAAAGUUGAGCAGAAUGAUCAAAGUGGUGAUGAGGGUUCUGCUUCUGAGGAAAGUGAAAAGCGUAGAGCUAAAGUUAAGGAAAAAAGAAAGCAUAAGAGGUCUGGCAAAUAUGAGUCAUCGUCAGAUGAUAGUUAUGACUCUGAUGUUGAGGAUAGGAAGGAGGCUAAAAGGAGGAGGAAAGAGGAGAGGAGAUGGAAGAAAGAGGAGAAGCGUAGGCGUCGGGAGGAGAGACAGCGCAGAAAGGAAGAAAGACAUGCCCAGAAACUAAAAUCGAAGUCAGCUAAUGCCAUGUCUUCGCCAUCAGAUACGGAGAGAAAUCCUGAUUGCCAUGCUUCUUAUGAUGAGCAUCUGAGGAAGGGGGAUGUCGAGGAGUCAGAGUCCAUGCAGAAAAGGCUUGAGAUUGAGCUGCGGGAGAAGGCUCUUGAAUCUCUCAGAGCAAAAAAGGGCAUCAGCCAUUAAGAUUCUUGCUGCUUUUGGACAUUAUUGAGCUGCUAUUCUUGUCUUAAUAGUUUUCUCUUUCAGCUUGCUUUAUCUAACUAGAACUAAAUGUUUACUAUGGAUAUGUUUAUGAUAUUUAAUGUAGUCUAUCUUUACCUCUGGCAGCUGAAUUGCAUUAAAGAGGGUUUCCUGAGCUAGUGUCUUGACAUCAACUUUAUGCUGACCUACCUGCUAGACAUUCUGAUCAUAAUAUUGUCCACUAGAUGACCUCGUUGAGCAGACAUGUGCAGCUCGAUAUGUGGAUCUCCAAUACAGGUGAUGUGUUACCAUCCUUAAUUGGCUGCGUUAGAUAGUAGGGUAGAAUGCCUAUUGUUUGGAGCUUUUACCCUUAAAUGUAAACUUAAAUCUUAUUUAGGUCUCAUGGUAUUGAGUGCUGAUUUACCUUGUCUGGCUGGCAGCUUGACUUGCUCUCCAGAAUGUGAUUUGCUUUAUAUGAUGAGCUGAGUUCGUGUUUGUGUUGUCACUGUGUUUGUAUCAGUAGUUGAGACAGUACUGGUGCAUUAUAUUGUUUCUUAUUAUAUCUUGCUAAUGUUAUGGUGCUACUGUUUUUUUUUUUAAAUCUUUCUUUGAGCUGAGGGUCUAUCGGAAAUCUUUCUACCUUCCCAAGGUUUUUUUGGGGGUGGGUGGGUGGUGAAGGUCUAGGUACAUACUACCCUUCCUAGACCCUACUUGUGGGAUUACACUGAGUUUGUUAUUGUUGUUGAUAUUCAAAUUUUUUUCUAGACAUUCCUGAUAUCCAUAUAAAGCAAAAAAAAAAAUCUUCGUGCCUGCUUUAUUACCUGGCAGAUAUGGUCUUCGUGCUUUUUGAUAGUUCAUUUAGGUAGUUUCAUGGGUUAUGCCAGGUUUCUAAUCCUAUCAGACUGGCUAUUAUCAAAUUAUUCCAUGCAUAUAGAUGUGUGCUCGUUCAUAUCAGGAUAAAUUCUUGUACUUGCACUGUUUAUAUGAUAUGGAAUGAGUUCAAUUUGGAUAUCGCCUCGGAUAACUUCUCCUUUACCUCCUAUAUUAUUCUGAAGAAGCUAAGUUGUCUAGUAUCAUAAACAUAAGCUAAAGCUUUUCUCAAGGAUUCUAGAGUAGUGGAAGGGGCAUGUAAAGGAAGGUAUGUCCAGGACUUCUUAUGCUUUGAUGGACAAAUGGAAAGAGAGAAUCCAGCUAUGGAUAACAGCUGCAAUUUUCGUUUUUAUUCAGACCCUAUGGCAUCCUUUUGGAUGUCCGGUAAGAGACAUAAUAUUAGCCGUUUAGAUUAUUGUGCCAUGUCUGUAGGUACAUAGGUCUCCUUUUCUUAUCCACUAGGUAGUAACUUACUUAUUACACUAUUCUCAAUUCCUCAAGGUUGUACGAGCUGUAGUAGAGGUGGAGCCAUGCCUUGGAAGGUUUUUUUUCCGGAGAAAGGAGUGAUCUGCUGAGAAAAAAAUGGAUGAAACGAUAUUAGUAGCUUAAAUUGUUUAUAUUCCGUAAAUGAAGUAGCUUAAAUUUAUUCA